CUACGGGGUGCAGCAGUGGGGAAUAUUGGACAAUGGGGGAAACCCUGAUCCAGCAAUGCCGCGUGUGUGAAGAAGGCCUGCGGGUUGUAAAGCACUUUCGGUUGGGAGGACUGCUUCUAGCACUAAUAUUGUUGGAAGUUGACGUUACCUUCAGAAGAAGCACCGGCUAACUCCGUGCCAGCAGCCGCGGUAAUAGCGGAGGGUGCAAGCGUUAAUCGGAAUUACUGGGCGUAAAGCGCGCGUAGGCGGCUAGAUCAGUCGGGUGUGAAAGCCCCGGGCUUAACCUGGGAACUGCAUCCGAUACUGUCUAGCUUGAGUACAGGAGAGGAGAGUGGAAUUCCACAUGUAGCGGUGAAAUGCGUAGAUAUGUGGAGGAACACCAAUGGCGAAGGCAGCUCUCUGGCCUGAUACUGACGCUGAGGUUCGAAAGCGUGGGGAGCAAACAGGAUUAGAUACCCUAGUAGUC
rnacentral:rRNA from 1 species